AUGGCUUCCCACCCGUCGCCGCCGCCGCCGCCGCCGCCGGAACACCCCAUACCACCCGCUCCCACCACCAUAAGUGACCUCGACGACGACCUGCUCCGGGAGAUCUUCCUCCGCCUCCCUAACCUCCCCAGCCUCCGUCGCCGCUUCCAGGCGCUCCAAGCACGCCCGCUCCUCCCUCACUUCCUCGCACACACAAUAGCUCCCUUCCCCGCCUCAGGCCGCCCCUCCGCCGGAUUCAGCCCCCUCCAAGACGACGACACUGCCGACUGGCGGAUCGAUUUCUCCGAUCCGUCGGUUUUCUACAAUGGCGGCUGCAUCGCCAUCAAGCACCAGAGCGCCAAGCAGAGAGUUUGGUACAACCCUCAAACGAUGGCCCUGUUUCUCCGCCCCAAGGAGCAUCAUGACAUGCCCGAUGGCACCACCCUUGGGUUCCACACAUUCUCCUCCGAAGAGGAUCAGAGGCCGUCCCGUGUGGUAUGUGUCCGUCAGGACUACUCAUGGGCUUGGCUACGCAUCGCUGUAUUCUCAUCGGACACCAUGGAGUGGCAGAUUUUUCCAGAGAUUGCGACGCUGCUACCUGAGGGCUUCAGGCGCACAGCCUGCACCGUGCUGGAUUGGUUUAUCUGUUGGCAAUGCGAGUCCAUGAGCGGGGUACAAGCCAGCGAGUACAUUUUCGUGCUCAAAACAGAUACAGUUCAGUUCUCUCGAAUGGAUCUGCCGCCGCCCUUGAGAGUGGCACACCAAAAAUUUAAGAUUGGUCAGACCGCUGAUGGGAAGCUCUGUAUUGUGAAUGAGAAUGAAUGCAUGUUUAGUAUUUGGAUCUUGACAGCCGGCGAUGACGGCAUCGAGAGAUUUGUGCUGCACAAGAUGUUCCCGUUGCAAGCUAGCUUUAUGGAGGUCACCGGCUGUUCAGUGGAAGAUACAAUCUCAGUGCGGCUUAUGACGGUUUUCAACGGUUUUGUGUACUUUGCACUUCGCCCAUGGAGGAAUUAUGUGGAUCAGUUCAAAUCCCCUGAGUGGUUCAUGUCCAUGUCUCUGGAAACAGCGGAGCUGAAGCAGCAUCUGAAGAAUAGAAAGCGGCCUGUCUUCCCUGUCCAUCCCUACUCGGCCUGGCCUCCUUCUAUGGAAUACAUCUCGGAGGAUUCAAAAUCUGAGGUUACUGGAAAAAGUGUUGAUGAUGUCGGUCUUGAGAGUACAGAAAAGGAUUCAUCUGUCCUUAUAAAAGCAUUAAGAUCAUAUAAAGAAGCGUUGAUUAAGGAUGGUGACGCAAAUGUUGCAGAGAUAGAGGCCUUCUCACUUUGUCUUGACGCUGAGGAUGAGAAGAAUUCUCUUGUGAGGAAAAUCAUUGCUUUAGAUGAACUGUUAAUAACUGUGAGAGAUCGUGUCUUGAGGGCGGGUGCAGACUCUGAAUUCGCAGACUGUCAAUUCUACAGACAGAAGAUCAAAACAGAGAGCUGGUGGCAAGUGUGCAAGGCGAAGUUAUGGAGAGCUUUCUGCGCUAGCUGA
rnacentral:rRNA from 1 species